AAGCGAUCAGCUCAGCUUAAGCGGGUCCUGUGACACAACACUCCCUCUCACUUAAGAUUCACACUGAAAGACCAUUGUAGGAAGCUCUUAAUAUUGAUUAGACUCUUGGUGGAUGCAGCUGAAACUGGAGCAUGAGAACUGCAGGCUACAAGAAAGGUGUUGAAGUUACAAUAAGAUUACUGUCAUGUGAAAGAAGAAGUGUCAAGCAGGACUUCCUUUAUAGAAGAUUUCUCACUACCGAGAGUCCGAACACUAAACAGUGCAACAAGGUGUUUUUAUCUUCAGUGUAGUGUUGUGCUCAGCCCGCUGAAGUUCGCUUUUUUUGCCCAGGAUGGCAAAAUGGACCUUGUGCUUCGCUCUGCUUUUGCCACCAAUAGUGUUUUUUGGAAAGACAGUGUUUGCAGCAGCUUCUGAGAAGAUCUGUGGAAGAAAACACAGUAAAACAGAUGCUGAAGAGACUCUGGUGAAAACCAUCGGGACAGAACCAGAUGUUACACUGUUAUGCUCCAACGACACAGAGAAUUUCAUCAUACUGAUAAUUUGUCAGAUCAGCACAAAGAGAAGAAGGAGAAACGAAUCUUGUUUGUCUUAUCGACAUGAAAUUGGCUUUGAGAAUAAAUGUGAAUCAGGAGUCAAACUUCUGACAGAGACUCAGACGGUGUUUCUUCAGUUGAGCAGUUUAACACAAGAGGAUGAAGGGAGCUACACCUGUGAGUGUUCAUGUGGGGUGGAACUUAUACUACCCAUCUGAAUGUCACUGUGGAAGGCGGACUCAAAGGGCAGAACAAAGACCUACCUGUGGGAGGGUCAGACGUGAUGUUUUUCUUGAUGGGUGUUACUGCAGUCGUGAUCAUAACUGCAGUAAUCAUCGGAUUUAUCUACAGACACAUGCGCCGCAGAAAACUGAGACAACCGCUGAACAGUCUUCAAAUCAUGGAGCCUUAUGACAUUGAACCGUACAGCACCUUCACACGGACAGACUGUGCGCUUUAUUCAACCGUCAAUCUGCACGGCUGUAACAUAAACACCAACAAUUCAAACACGUUUACCAGAGAGGAAAUGCAUGCAGGGAAGUUUUUGUAAAUUUUGAGUUCUUGUCUUCAACUUUUUCCAAUGCACAUUGAUGAAAAACCACUGUGGAUUCACCAGCGUGACCCAUAGGUGUAAUCUCAAUGGCUGUCCUUAUUCAUGAGGGAAGUAUGUGUAGCAUGUGCUCAAAGUUAAAGUAGGCCCACUGUCCACAUGAUGGCACUGUUUUACUUUCUGACGAGUCCCUAUGUUUCAUUCAUUCUGGUCAUUCUGUUUUUUUCACUCUUAACAACUGUGAUGCUCAACCAGCUUUAUGACAAAUACCUUUAAACUUUGAUUCAUAGCCCAAGGUUUUUAUUAGUUUAUAGUGACCCUGCUUUUAUUUGAGACAGGUGUAAAUACAUUUUGUACAUGCUAAAGAGAAGUCCUCUGUGCACACACAUGGAGUGCAGGAAAACUAGUUCAUACAUUUGUUACCUCCAGGUUGGAUUAUUGUAUGUAAAUGGGCUGUGUCUGUACCUUUAAAUAUGUAAAUGAGCAGUGU